rnacentral:lncRNA from 1 species
UCUAUUCCAUCCAUUAUCAAAAUUAUCUAUCUUUAAUUCCGCUGCUUACUUAACCCAUCUAAAUUAUAUUUAACCUACUUCAAUCUUAAUUGCACCCAUUAUUUUAUUAGCUAUCCGACUACAAGACUAUACAAGUUAGGAAAGCUACUUUAUCGUUGACGAUCGGGCAACUAAGAUGACUCGACUCACUAACUCGAGGUGG